UACGUAGGGUGCAAGCGUUGUCCGGAAUUAUUGGGCGUAAAGAGCUCGUAGGCGGUCUGUCGCGUCUGCUGUGAAAACUCGGGGCUCAACCUCGGGUCUGCAGUCGAUACGAGCAAACUAGAGUGUUGCAGGGGAGACUGGAAUUCCUGGUGUAGCGGUGAAAUGCGCAGAUAUCAGGAGGAACACCGGUGGCGAAGGCGGGUCUCUGGGCAACAACUGACGCUGAGGAGCGAAAGCGUGGGGAGCGAACAGG
rnacentral:rRNA from 1 species